rnacentral:snRNA from 1 species
AGAUUACAUGAGCAUCAGAACCG